rnacentral:tRNA from 1 species
ACCCUGGUGGCUCAGAUGGUAAAGCGUCUGCCUGCAAUGCGGGAGACCCAGGUUCGAUUCCUAGGUUGGGAA